rfam:Oryza meridionalis cultivar OR44 (W2112) chromosome 3, whole genome shotgun sequence.
UUUAAGUACAAUCAUGAGUUUCCACGCUCAACUUUAAUUAUCUGUUUUAUUUAAACUUUUUUAUAAAUAGUAUUUUUAUUGUUAUGAGAUGAUAAAAUUUAAAUAAGACGGAUAAUCAAAGUUGGGUAUGAAAAAUUAUGGCUACACUUAAA